rnacentral:misc_RNA from 1 species
GAUGAAGAACGUAGCGAAAUGCGAUAAGUAAUGCGAAUUGCAGAAUUUCCGUGAGUCAUCGAAUCUUUGAACGCACAUUGCGCCCGCUGGUAUUCCGGCGGGCAUGCCUGUUCGAGCGUCAUUUCAACCCUCAAGCUCUCCGGAGUUUGGUGUUGGGGCGCCUGGGGCUUUUCGACCUCAGGGCCCUCAAGUCCAUCGGCGGGACCGCCAGGACACUGAGCGCAGUAGUAUUAUUUCGCUCGGUAGGAUCUUCCACGGCGGGUCGAUCUGGCCGCUAAACCCCCCAAUUCUCACCAAAGGUUGACCUCGGAUCAGGUAGGAAUACCCGCUGAACUUAAGCAUAUCAAUAAGCGGAGGA